rnacentral:rRNA from 1 species
GACAGAGGGGGCAAGCGUUGCUCGGAAUCACUGGGCGUAAAGGGCGCGUAGGCGGGAUGGCAAGUCAGUCGUGAAAUCUCUCGGCUCAACCGAGAAACGUCGGCUGAUACUGCCGUUCUUGAGGGAUGCAGAGGAGACUGGAAUUCCCGGUGUAGCGGUGAAAUGUGUAGAGAUCGGGAGGAACACCGGUGGCGAAGGCGGGUCUCUGGGCAACAACUGACGCUGAGGAGCGAAAGCGUGGGGAGCGAACAGG